CUUCAGUCUUUUAAGCUCGGAAGAACGUCUCCUGAGAGCUGGUGUAGUGAAACAGGCUGGAUCCAAAUAUACGGUAACCAAGACAGGAUCAUAUUUGAAUUUGUUGCUGAAUUUUAAAAUGGAAGGAAAACACCAGCAGAUAGAUUCAAGAAGUCACAUAUGUGAUUGCUCUAAUAGUACCCAUACUUGCUGCCAAGGCAACUGGUGCUGCCCUUACCCUGUCGCAAUUAAUAGAGGUUCUGCUGUCAUCACCGCCCAGCCCAAACCUAUGAUUAAUGUUCAGGCCAAUCCAGUCAUGGUGGUUAAUCCUGCUCCUCCUACUAAUGGUUGGGGUGGGCAGUUUGCUAAUCAAAGCUCUGCUCCAUUUCCUGGGGGUUUUGGGGGCCAGUAUGUUAAUCAAAAUUCUGGUCCAUUCCCUGGUGGUUUCAUGGCUCAGAAUUCACAAGGAAAUGUGUUUGGAAACCCUCCUCCAUAUCCUGGUGCAUAAAGCAGUUAAAUACUGUACAAACAGUAUUUGGGUUCUCAUAUUAUCUAUGAUGAUGUUGGUUUAUGAUGAAACGUAUUUACUCAUAUAGAAAACUUAAUCUAUUUUCAGUACUUCAAUAAUAAUUAUCAAGGGCCUGAUU